rnacentral:rRNA from 1 species
UACGGGGGGGGCAAGCGUUGUUCGGAAUUACUGGGCGUAAAGGGCGUGUAGGCGGCCAACUAAGUCCGACGUGAAAUCCCCAGGCUUAACCUGGGAACUGCGUCGGAUACUGGAUGGCUUGAAUCCGGGAGAGGGAUGCGGAAUUCCAGGUGUAGCGGUGAAAUGCGUAGAUAUCGGAAGGAACGCCGGUGGCGAAAGCGGCGUGCUGGACCUCUUCUGACGCUGAGGCGCGAAAGCCAGGGGAGCAAACGGG